UACGUAGGGGGCAAGCGUUGUCCGGAUUUAUUGGGCGUAAAGAGCGUGUAGGCGGCCUGACAGGUCUGCUGUGAAAACUCGAGGCUCAACCUCGAGAUGUCGGCGGAAACCGUCUGGCUAGAGUCCGGAAGAGGAGAGUGGAAUUCCUGGUGUAGCGGUGAAAUGCGCAGAUAUCAGGAAGAACACCUAUGGCGAAGGCAGCACUCUGGUACAUGACUGACGCUGAGACGCGAAAGCGUGGGUAGCAAACAGG
rnacentral:rRNA from 1 species